GAUAGGCAAAACAAUUUGGUUGAUAAGGUGCAGAUCCUGAGCUAACCUGUAGGGCUUGUCUGGUUUUAGGACAGGUAAAAUGGGGGAAUUGUAAGGAGAGUUUAUAGUGAAGGAAGCAAGCCUAGAGAAAGGAGAGAGUAGAGAAAUGGAGGGAAGGGGUUGGGGGGGUUCUUACCUUCCAGAAAAGUGGAAAAAGGGGUUGGGGUGCAGAGAUAAGAGGUUGGGGCAUGGAAAUAAGGGAUUGGGGCACAGAGAUAUAAGAGGUUGGGGCACAGAAAUAAGGGAUUAGGGUGCAGAGAUAUGAGGUUGGGGCACGGAAAUAAGGGAUUGGGGCACACAGAUAAGAGGUCGGGGUACGGAAAUAAGGGAUUGGGGCACAGAGAUAAGAGGUUGGGGCAUGGAAAUAAGGGAUUGGGGCACAGAGAUAAGAGGUUGGGGCACAGAAAUAAGGGAUUGGGAGUUCU
rnacentral:lncRNA from 1 species